CUACGGGUGGCAGCAGUGGGGAAUAUUGGACAAUGGGCGAAAGCCUGAUCCAGCCAUGCCGCGUGUGUGAAGAAGGCCUUCGGGUUGUAAAGCACUUUCAGUGGGGAAGAAAGCCUUGGGGCUAAUACCCUCGAGGAAGGACAUCACCCACAGAAGAAGCACCGGCUAACUCCGUGCCAGCAGCCGCGGUAAUACGGAGGGUGCGAGCGUUAAUCGGAAUUACUGGGCGUAAAGCGCGCGUAGGCGGUCUGAUAAGCCGGUUGUGAAAGCCCCGGGCUCAACCUGGGAACGGCAUCCGGAACUGUCAGGCUAGAGUGCAGGAGAGGAAGGUAGAAUUCCCGGUGUAGCGGUGAAAUGCGUAGAGAUCGGGAGGAAUACCAGUGGCGAAGGUGGCCUUCUGGACUGACACUGACGCUGAGGUGCGAAAGCGUGGGUAGCAAACAGGAUUAGAUACCCCAGUAGUC
rnacentral:rRNA from 1 species